GAUGAAGAACGCAGCGAAAUGCGAUAAGUAGUGUGAAUUGCAGAAUUCAGUGAAUCAUCGAAUCUUUGAACGCACAUUGCGCCCCUUGGUAUUCCAUGGGGCAUGCCUGUUCGAGCGUCAUUUGUACCUUCAAGCUCUGCUUGGUGUUGGGUGUUUGUCUCGCCUUUGCGUGUAGACUCGCCUUAAAAUAAUUGGCAGCCGGCGUAUUGAUUUCGGAGCGCAGUACAUCUCGCGCUUUGCACUCAUAACGACAGCGUCCAAAAGUACAUUUUACACUCUUGACCUCGGAUCAGGUAGGGAUACCCGCUGAACUUAAGCAUAUCAAUAAGCGGAGGA
rnacentral:misc_RNA from 1 species